UUAAGAMUUAAAUUAAUUAAAUUAAGGUAUUAAUAGGUAUAUUCUUUAAAUCUAAAAAAAUUGGCGGUAUUUUAUCUAAUUAGGGGAAUUUGUUUAUUAAAUGAUAAUCCGCGAGAUACCUUACUUUUUAUAUAUUAAUUUGUAUACUUCCGUUUUCAGAAUAUUUUUAUAAAAUUUAAUAAUAUUCAAAAUUUUUUAUUAAAAAUUAUUUCAGGUCAAAGUGCAGUUUAUUAAAAAGUAUAAAUGAAUUACAAUAAAUUUAUUUAUUAUGAAUUUUAAAUUGAAAUAUUUAAAUGAAGGUGGACUUAAUAGUAAUUUUUAAAAUCAUUAAAUAUUGAAAAUAGAUCUAAAAUAUGU
rnacentral:rRNA from 1 species